rnacentral:rRNA from 1 species
GACGAACGCUGGCGGCGUGCUUAACACGUGCAAGUCGAACGGAAAGGCCCUGCUUUUGUGGGGUGCUCGAGUGGCGAACGGGUGAGUAACACGUGAGUAACCUGCCCUUGACUUUGGGAUAACUUCAGGAAACUGGGGCUAAUACCGGAUAGGAGCUCCUGCUGCAUGGUGGGGGUUGGAAAGUUUCGGCGGUUGGGGAUGGACUCGCGGCUUAUCAGCUUGUUGGUGGGGUAGUGGCUUACCAAGGCUUUGACGGGUAGCCGGCCUGAGAGGGUGGCCGGCCACAUUGGGACUGAGAUACGGCCCAGACUCCUACGGGAGGCAGCAGUGGGGAAUAUUGCACAAUGGGCGGAAGCCUGAUGCAGCAACGCCGCGUGCGGGAUGACGGCCUUCGGGUUGUAAACCGCUUUCGCCUGUGACGAAGCGUGAGUGACGGUAAUGGGUAAAGAAGCACCGGCUAACUACGUG